ACACAUGCAAGUCGAGGGGCAGCAUGGUCUUAGCUUGCUAAGGCCGAUGGCGACCGGCGCACGGGUGAGUAACGCGUAUCCAACCUGCCUUACACUCUUGGACAGCCUUCUGAAAGGGAGAUUAAUACAAGAUGUUAUCAUGAGUAAGCAUUUUCGCAUGAUUAAAGGUUUACCGGUGUAAGAUGGGGAUGCGUUCCAUUAGAUAGUAGGCGGGGUAACGGCCCACCUAGUCUUCGAUGGAUAGGGGUUCUGAGAGGAAGGUCCCCCACAUUGGAACUGAGACACGGUCCAAACUCCUACGGGAGGCAGCAGUGAGGAAUAUUGGUCAAUGGACGAGAGUCUGAACCAGCCAAGUAGCGUGAAGGAUGAAGGUUCUAUGGAUUGUAAACUUCUUUUAUACGGGAAUAAACGAAUCCACGCGUGGAUUUUUGCAUGUACCGUAUGAAUAAGGAUCGGCUAACUCCGUGCCAGCAGCCGCGGUAAUACGGAGGAUCCGAGCGUUAUCCGGAUUUAUUGGGUUUAAAGGGAGCGUAGAUGGGUUGUUAAGUCAGUUGUGAAAGUUUGCGGCUCAACCGUAAAAUUGCAAUUGAUACUGGCAGUCUUGAGUACAGUUGAGGUAGGCGGAAUUCGUGGUGUAGCGGUGAAAUGCUUAGAUAUCACGAAGAACUCCGAUUGCGAAGGCAGCUUACUAACCUGUAACUGACAUUGAUGCUCGAAAGUGUGGGUAUCAAACAGGAUUAGAUACCCUGGUAGUCCACACGGUAAACGAUGAAUACUCGCUGUAGGCGAUAUACAGUCUGCGGCCAAGCGAAAGCAUUAAGUAUUCCACCUGGGGAGUACGCCGGCAACGGUGAAACUCAAAGGAAUUGACGGGGGCCCGCACAAGCGGAGGAACAUGUGGUUUAAUUCGAUGAUACGCGAGGAACCUUACCCGGGCUUAAAUUGCAACCGAAUAUGGCGGAAACGCUAUAGCUAGCAAUAGCGGUUGUGAAGGUGCUGCAUGGUUGUCGUCAGCUCGUGCCGUGAGGUGUCGGCUUAAGUGCCAUAACGAGCGCAACCCUUGCCGAUAGUUACUAACAGGUCAUGCUGAGGACUCUGUCGGGACUGCCAUCGUAAGAUGUGAGGAAGGUGGGGAUGACGUCAAAUCAGCACGGCCCUUACGUCCGGGGCUACACACGUGUUACAAUGGGGGGUACAGAGGGCUGCUACCACGCAAGUGGAUGCCAAUCCCAAAAACCUCUCUCAGUUCGGAUUGAAGUCUGCAACCCGACUUCAUGAAGCUGGAUUUGCUAGUAAUCGCGCAUCAGCCACGGCGCGGUGAAUACGUUCCCGGGCCUUGUACACACCGCCCGUCAAGCCAUGGGAGCCGGGGGUACCUGAAGUGCGUAACCGCAAGGAGCGCCCUAGGGUAAAACUGGUGACUGGGGCUAA
rnacentral:rRNA from 1 species